UUGUAAAAAUCACCUCUCCAAAUUAGCAUAACAGUGAUGGUGGCAAUAUCAUAAUGCUUUAGCUUGCAUAAAACAGUAGUUAGUUUUAGGAUAAGUAGUGAUUAAUAAUAGUUUAGAACUAAAAAUCCAAAAUGGCAGCCACAAUGAUUCUCUAUUAGAAAGUAUCAAAAAUGAAGGACACAGACUGAAUUGACCAAUAGCAGAUAAGAGAUGUGAAGUAAAGUUCAGCAAGUAUGACUCAGCUCACUCUCCAAAAUACCUGAAGGGUGGUGCUAGCAGGAGGACAUAUACUAAUAGCUAGGAGGAGGAUCAAUUAGUUUCAGUGACAGAUGAAGCUGACUGGCAUGGAUGAUCUCAUUAGGUAGGGAGUAUCUAUGCUAAUUUCUGAACUUGAAAAAGCAACCAAUUAGAGAAGGUCAGAGACUGAAUAUAAGGUGAACAGCCUGCGGGGCUAAAAAGCUGGAAGCUGAUUGGCUGAGCCUGAGAGAGCAACCAAUAUAUAAGGCCAACAGCAGCAGGCUGAACUUGUAGUAGGUUUGAUGGAGAACAGAUGGUGCAAGACACCUGCAAAGAAAAGAAGCUAUCUACUUGAGGAGGAGGAGGAGAAGCAGCAGCAGCAAUAGAACCCUGAGGUUGCCCUGGCAACAGCUACCAUUGCAACCCAGCCAACGAAGAAAGCAACAGCCUUUACGACAGCACAGGCUUCCAUAUCUGUCACCCGAGGGCAGCUUUCACCUCAGCAGCAGCAAUUGCUCUCUAGCAACAGCAGACAAUGUCAAACAUCAGCAGACAGCGCUUCCCUUUUGACAGAUCAGAAGGACUCUAUUGAUUCAGAGGGAUCUAAGAAUAGUAGAAAUUCCUGAAUGCUUUGCUGCCAUGGAAACAGAUGGUGAAAGGCCUAAAAUAGAACAGGCAACUCUAAAGCAACAAUUGUUUCACAAACUCCAUUCUCCUCCUCACUAAGAAAAGCAGUAGUGUCCCUAUAGGUGCUCCACUUCCGGUGACUACCAGCAGUAACUCCAGCUAGAGAGGGGGACUUUUGUGCCAAGUCCAAGAUUGAAGACACCACAGCAUUUCCAACUGCAGCAUCUGAUCUGGAAAACUGGACCAGUGCAUAAUGCUUAGGAAAAAUAUGUACAGAAGACCAAGUGGCAGUUUUAUACAUUUCCAGAAUAGGAACAUUCUUGAAUAAUGCCAUAGAAGCAGACAGAAAUCUCAUGGAAUGGGCCAACACCCUAGAAGGAGACUGUAUAUCUAAAGAUUUAUAGUACAAUAUGAUACAAUCAGAAAUCCACCUGGAGUGUCUGUGGGUGGAAAUUGCUGAAUCUUCGGAUCUAUCCACAAUAGUCACAAACAGUUUGGGUUACUUCCCAAAUGACUUGGUUCUUUCCAAAUAAAAGGCUAUCGCCCUCCUAAUGUC